GUCAUUGUGGUGUAGUGGUUUGAGUGUCAGACUGUGACUCUGGAGACCAGUGUUCAAAUCCCAUUUUGGCCA